CGGCAGGGCUCGCUGUCGGAGCGGGCGGGCUCGGCGCUGCACGCCCUCAACCUGCUGAGCAUCCUGUGCUUCCCGGCGGCCGUGGUGCUGCUGCUGCCCUCCGUCACCCCGGUGGGCGCCGCCUUCGCCCUGGCCGUCCACACCGUGCUCUUCCUCAAGCUCUUCUCCUUCCACGACGUCAACAAAUGGUGCCGGCAGCGCCGGGGGGGGACCCCGAAAACGCCCCCGAAACAGCCCCCCAAACAGCCCGAGGGGGAUGCCGCAGCCCGCAGAGCCAACGGGGACGUGGCGCACGGGGAGGUGACCUACCCUGAGAACCUGAGC